AAAAGAUCGUGAAACAAUGGCAGCUAAUUUAGCAAAACUAUCAAGUGAAAGUACGUCUGGUGGAGAUGCACCACCACCAACUCCAAACACUCAAAAGUUCUCAGUCAAGAACUUAGUAAUGAUGUAUUUGAAGAUAACAUUAAUUUUUCAUCAGACGAAGAUAAUCCUCCAGUUGUUGAUGAUACUCAAUUAGAACACAAUGCCGAAUUUUGUGAUAAUCCCACCAAACAAACAAAUACAAAAAAACAUAUUGAAAAUAUACCUAAAGAAAUUGAUUGUGAUAAAGUAAGUUGAAAAGGAACAU